rnacentral:tRNA from 1 species
ACCUGAGUGGCUCAGUCAGUUAAGCAUCUGACUUUGACUCAGGUCAUGAUCUCGAGGUUUGUGAGUUCAAACCCCACAUUAGGCU